rnacentral:rRNA from 1 species
AACGAACGCUGGCGGCAUGCCUAACACAUGCAAGUCGAACGAAGGCUUCGGCCUUAGUGGCGCACGGGUGCGUAACGCGUGGGAACCUGCCCCUCGGUUCGGAAUAACAGUUAGAAAUGACUGCUAAUACCGGAUGAUGACUUCGGUCCAAAGAUUUAUCGCCGAGGGAUGGGCCCGCGUAGGAUUAGCUAGUUGGUGGGGUAAAGGCCUACCAAGGCGACGAUCCUUAGCUGGUCUGAGAGGAUGAUCAGCCACACUGGGACUGAGACACGGCCCAGACUCCUACGGGAGGCAGCAGUGGGGAAUAUUGGACAAUGGGCGAAAGCCUGAUCCAGCAAUGCCGCGUGAGUGAUGAAGGCCUUAGGGUUGUAAAGCUCUUUUACCAGGGAUGAUAAUGACAGUACCUGGAGAAUAAGCUCCGGCUAACUCCGUGCCAGCAGCCGCGG